AGCACUAGUGUCGGCACGUAAGUGUUCGGUGCCGCAGUUAACGCAAUAAGUGCUCCGCCUGGGGGAGUACGUACGCAAGUAUGAAACUCAAAGGAAUUGACGGGGACCCGCACAAGCAGCGGAGCAUGUGGUUUAAUUCGAAGCAACGCGAAGAACCUUACCAGGGCUUGACAUCCCUCUGACCGGCUGGGUAAAACCGGCCUUUCUUCGGACAGAGGUGACAGGUGGUGCAUGGUUGUCGUCAGCUCGUGUCGUGAGAUGUUGGGUUAAGUCCCGCAACGAGCGCAACCCUUGUCUUUAGUUGCCAUCAUUGAGUUGGGCACUCUAGAGAGACUGCCGGGGACAACUCGGAGGAAGGUGGGGAUGACGUCAAAUCAUCAUGCCCCUUAUGUUCUGGGCUACACACGUGCUACAAUGGUCGGUACAAAGAGCAGCGAGACCGCGAGGUGGAGCAAAUCUCAAAAGCCGAUCCCAGUUCGGAUUGCAGGCUGCAACCCGCCUGCAUGAAGUCGGGGUUGCUAGUAAUCGUGGAUCAGAAUGCCACGGUGAAUGCGUUCCCGGGUCUUGUACACACCGCCCGUCACACCAUGGAAGUUGGGGGCGCCCGAAGUUGGACAGAUAAUAGUUUACCUAAGGCGAAAUCAAUGACUGGGGUGAAGUCGUAACAAGGUAGCCG
rnacentral:rRNA from 1 species